CAGGUUAUGCCAGGAUAACUGGGACCCCGUGAGCUAAGAAUGAAGCUGAACCCUUGCCACUCACCACGGUACAAAAAUUAACUCAAAAUGGAGCAAUGACCUCAAUAUCAGAGCUUAAAUAAGAUAUUUUAAAGAAGCACAGCAUUAUGUCUCCAUGCUAGAUUUUGCAAAGGAUUUGUAUACCUGACAAGUGUGAACAACAAAAGAAAAAAUAGAUGUUGGACUGUAAAUUUUUAAAAUCUAUGCAUCAAGGGACAUUAUCGGGUCAGAACCAAAACAACAGAGUAGUGUCAGCAGCAAAAUUCAUGUUCUCUGAAACCUGGAAGCCAGAUCCCUGGAGAAUAUCUUGGUGAGGAGAAAAAGAAAUAGAUCUCUGGGAAUCAGGAAGGAAAAUUAGAAGCUACAGAGAAGUUAGAAAAACAGACCACAAUGCAGAGAAAUGAAUGAAGCAGCCUGGGAGCUUAGCUGGCUCCUGGGAAUGGGGAACCUAUUUCCGCAGACACAGUGUAAGCCCCCAGGGUUCAGAGCUCCAGGGAGAACAGCGGACUAGGCCCGCAGUGCUGCCCCAGGAGGGGCCCAUGAGUGUUGUGACCUGUAGAAGCAGCAUGUGGCUUUGCUUCCAGGUGACUCCACUUGGCAGGCAGCAGCUGGAGGGGGAAUCCCGAGCAACACCUGCCACAUGACCAGAGAGUGUAAGUCAGGUGUCAUUCUGGGAAGGGUUAUGUAAGACAGAGAAAGUGCACAGCUUGAGGGUUCCCAGUGUGACUCCUGCAGUGAUUUGACAAGAGACAACUGCGGGAGACAGCUUGCGGAGAGGGACUGGGCCAGAAAUGGACAACCUCGGAAGUUUAAGUAUGAAGCUUUGAUGUUAUUCUGCUGCGAGCACAGCUUUGGUCAUGCACACAGUUACUUUUGGAUGAAAGGUGUUCUAUUUCAGUCUCUAGAAAACAUACUUCAAAUUAAUUUUUAAGGCAUGUAAAAUACAAGAAUUAUGAAGCCAUGGAAAAUCAUGAAGUCACGGAAGGUUCCACUCAAAUUUUUAAAAACAGCCUGGAUGCCCAGAUCUAUUAGCUGGCCUUUCUGCUUUAGCAAAUUCAAAAGAGAAAUUUCUGUAUAAUCCUGAAACUGAAUAGAACAGCAUUGGAUAUACUGUAUAUCUACAAAGCACAUUCUAAGAAUCAUCAGCCUGCUGAUACGGACUUGCACGGACACU